CAGAGGGGGCAAGCGUUGUUCGGAAUUACUGGGCGUAAAGGGCGCGUAGGUGGCCUUCUAAGUCGAACGUGAAAUCCCCGGGCUCAACCCGGGAACUGCGUCCGAUACUGGAAGGCUUGAAUCCGGGAGAGGGAUGCGGAAUUCCAGGUGUAGCGGUGAAAUGCGUAGAUAUCUGGAGGAACACCGGUGGCGAAGGCGGCAUCCUGGACCGGCAUUGACGCUGAGGCGCGAAAGCCAGGGGAGCAAACGGGAUUAGAUACCCCGGUAGUCCUGGCCCUAAACGAUGAAUGCUUGGUGUGGCGGGUAUCGAUCCCUGCCGUGCCGAAGCUAACGCAUUAAGCAUUCCGCCUGGGGAGUACGGUCGCAAGGCUG
rnacentral:rRNA from 1 species